rnacentral:rRNA from 1 species
GACGAACGCUGGCGGCGUGCUUAACACAUGCAAGUCGAACGGUGAAGCGCCUUCCUUUUUGGUGGGUGUGGAGGAGUGGCGAACGGGUGAGUAACACGUGAGUAACCUGCUCCCUUCUUCUGGAUAACCGCAUGAAAGUGUUGCUAACACGGGAUAUUUUGGGCCUGUUGCAUGAUGGGUCUGGGACAGAUUUUGUUUCGGUUGGGGAUGGGCUCGCGGCCUAUCAGCUUGUUGGUGGGGUGAUGGCCUACCAAGGCGGUGACGGGUAGCCGGCCUGAGAGGGUGGACGGCCACAGUGGGACGGCGACACGGCCCAGACUCCGAGGGGAGGCAGCAGGGAGGAAUAUGGAACAGUGGGAGCAAGGCUGAUGCAGCGACGCGGCGGGGGUGAUGGAGUCCGUCGGGUAGUGAACUUCUUUCGGGAGUGAAGCAGGCCUGCCUCGUCUGUGGGUGGGUUGACGGUAGCUGGACAAGAAGCGACGGCUAACUACGUG